AUGGGUUCCACCAAGCCACUCCGGCUGAUCCAGCACAAGAAGGAGGCCCUCUGGUUCUACAGCUUCAUCUCCUUCGGCUACGACCAUGUGUUCAACCCAGGCCAGUACACCGAGGACAUGCGCGACAUCUCCCUGGAGCAUGCCCGCCUCCAUAGCCGCGCCCUCAAGGUGGUCGACGUCGGUGGUGGCACUGGCUUCACCACGCUCGGCGUCGUCCGGUAUGUCGACCCCGAGAACGUGACGCUGCUCGACCAGUCGCCGCACCAACUCGACAAGGCCAGAAAGAAGAAGGCCCUCAGGGGCAUCAAGAUCAUGGAGGGUGACGCCGAGGACCUCCCCUUCCCCACCGACACCUUUGACCGAUACGUCUCCGCUGGCAGGUCGGUUAUGGACAAUCUCCUCUCCUUAGACUUUACGUUGACACAUCCAAUGAUCGAUUCGUCUGAGUUCUUGAUUUUGGCCUCCAUGCAUGGCAGCAUUGAGUAUUGGCCUGAUCCGCAGCGGGGGAUCAGGGAGGCCUACAGGGUCCUCAGCGCCGACGGUGUGGCUUGUAUGAUAGGCCCCGUGCGCCCGACGUUCUGGCUAUCUCGCUUCUUCGCCGACAUGUGGAUGCUCUUCCCCACGGAGGAAGAGUACAUCAAGUGGUUCGAGGGGGCCGGCUUCAAGGAUGUCGAGCUCACCAGAAUCGGGCCAAAGUGGUACCGCGGUGCCCGUAGGCAUGGCCUGGUCAUAGGGUGCUGUGUCACAGGCAUCAAGAAACAAAGUGGGGACUCCCCCUUACAGCUUGGUCCAAAGGCUGAGGAUGUUAGCAAGCCACAUGUGAACCCCAUCUUCGUCUUCUUUCGGUUCCUCAUUGGGACAAUAUGCGCCACAUACUUCUUCCUAGUGCCUAUUUACAUGUGGAUCAAGGACAAGAUUGUGCCCCAAGGCAGACCUAUCUAA
rnacentral:rRNA from 1 species